rnacentral:rRNA from 1 species
AUACGGAGGGUGCGAGCGUUAAUCGGAAUUACUGGGCGAAAAGCGUACGUAGGCGGUUGGUUAAGUUAGAUGUGAAAGCCCCGGGCUUAACCUGGGAACUGCAUUUAAAACUGGCGAACUAGAGUUGAGUAGAGGGGAGUGGAAUUUCAGGUGUAGCGGUGAAAUGCGUAGAGAUCUGAAGGAACACCAGUGGCGAAGGCGACUCCCUGGACUCGAACUGACGCUGAGGUACGAAAGCGUGGGUAGCAAACGGGAUUAGAAACCCUAGUAGUCC